rnacentral:rRNA from 1 species
UACGUAGGUGACAAGCGUUGUCCGGAUUUACUGGGCGUAAAGAGCGCGCAGGCGGUCGAUCAAGUCGAGUGUGAAAGCCCCCGGCUCAACUGGGGAGGGUCAUUCGAUACUGAUCGACUCGAAGGCAGGAGAGGGUAGUGGAAUUCCCGGUGUAGUGGUGAAAUGCGUAGAUAUCGGGAGGAACACCAGUGGCGAAGGCGACUGUCUGGGGUAUUGCUGACGCUGAGGCACGAAAGCCAGGGGAGCGAACGGG